AGUACUUACCUAAUGAACAGCACAGAAAUCACGCUGCAUACGCAAUCACCUAACCGCCAGUCACUAUAUUUCACGCUUGGCUCAAAAUGGAGCAAUGCGACCGGACAUGGAGCGGCUGUCUAUCAAAAAGCACUUAUGCGGUACUGACGCCAUGUGGCGUACGAUUUACCAUUCUCGGCAUUUCCAUGUUGACCGCUUCGGAGUGUAUAGAUAGUGCCUAUUUCUAGAUGUACACCAGUAUCUAUCGAUUGAUCCUCUAUAGUAACAUUGCAAUACAGGAAAAAUGUUUACUUUUUUUUGAGUAAAGAUGAAAUGUCGUAAAAUUAUGCUCAUAUAA